ACGCUCGACACCUACGGGGGGCAGCAGUUGGGAAUAUUGGACAAUGGAGGAAACUCUGAUCCAGUGACGCCGCGUGAAGGAAGAAGGUCUUCGGAUUGUAAACUUAUUUUGUCAGGGAAGAAAAAAUGGCUGUACCUGAAGAAAAAGCACCGGCUAACUACGUGCCUGCAGCCGCGGUAAUCUGAGGCGGGCUGGCAAGGC
rnacentral:rRNA from 1 species